rnacentral:rRNA from 1 species
GACAGAGGUGCCGAGCGUUAGGCGGAAUCACUGGGCUUAAAGCGUGUGUAGGCGGAUUGGUAAGUCCCUUGUGAAAUCCCACGGCUUAACCGUGGAACUGCUGGGUAUACUGCUUAUCUUGGGCCACUUAGGGGUUACCGGAACAAACGGUGGAGCGGUGAAAUGCGUAGAUAUCGUUUGGAACGCCAAUGGUGAAAACAGGUAACUGGGAGUGUGCCGACGCUGAGACACGAAAGCCAGGGGAGCGAACGGG